GGCGCUGGCGGUUGGUGCUCUUGGCUUCCAGGACGGGGUUCAAGUCCCUGCGGUGCC
rnacentral:sRNA from 1 species